rnacentral:snoRNA from 1 species
AGCACUGUGUAUGUUUUUAAUUUGUAGACAAAGACAGAUAAGUGUAAAAGUAAGUUCUCUUUACAAUCCAGAACUCAUUGUUCAAUAUGAGUCUUGAUUAUAUAUGAAGGAAUAUG